GGCUGCGUAGCAAAUCGGUUAUGCAGUGGCCUGCAAAGCCAUCUAGAGCGGUUCGACUCCGCUCGCAGCCUCCA
rnacentral:tRNA from 1 species